GCAAAGGGCAAAGGGCAAAAGGCAAAGGGCAAAAGGCAAACAGCGAAAAGGCAAAGGCCUGGGUCAGGGUGAAAGUGAAGGUGAAGGCCUGGGCCAGGGAGAAGGCAAAGGCAAAGGCCAGGGCCAAGGCAAAGUUAUAUACCCGGGUCAGGACAAAGACGAAAGCGAACACAAAGGGCCAGUCCAAGGCGAAGGCAAAGAUGAAAGAACGGGCCUAGGUGAUGGCGAACGCGAAAGCCCUGGCCCAGGCCAGGGUGAAGGUGAAGGUGAAGGUGAAGGCAAAUACUCUUAUCAAGGCAGAAGAUGGGAAGAUUUGUGUCUUGUACAGUCUUCAUCUGGUUUUGUUCUUCUGGUGCAAAAUCAAGUAAGGAUUAGCUGUUGCAAAUAUAAGUCGAACAAAUCAACUCUGUACAAGCUGCAAGGCAUGUUUCAAACCAGCAGGUGGCAACAUAAGACCACACUCAUUCAGAAGUGGUUUUUCAAGCCAAGUCCUUCACCAUCGAAACGAGAGAAACAUAUGCACCCCCAGUUAGGAAAGAAAUCCAUUAUUUUAAACAUGCUUUUGGUCAAUGCUGUUAUUCCCUCCUCAGUAUCUGAAGAGAGAAACCAUUUUCCUCUGUUAUUGUUCAUGGUUUAUGCUACAGCCCUGUCCUCUCAGGAAAUGUUUAAGUGCAGUGGAUAAACCAUUUCCUGCUUCAGAGGUGCAUUCUUAUCUAUUUGAUCUGCAGUAUAUACACAAUUCAUGAGAAAAUAGCGGCUAUUCAAAUGAUCACUUCCAUAAAGAUCCCAUCUUAACCCGUCUUAAACUGGAAGAGGAACCAUCCCUCUGAGCCAUGGAGGACACACCUAUCCUGAAUUGUGUUUGAGCAGGAAGAUUGCAUUAUUGUCUUUUCAAUUCUUACACACACACACUGCAAUUCCGUGCUGUGCAAAAUACUAUUCACGAAUAUUCAUGAAACAAAACUGAACAACGGCAAGAUUAUUCCGAAAGGUUAUUCAUUUGCUUUUGAAUUGCCAAGAUUUUUAAUAAAACAACAAUUCUGUAGACACUGUGUGCAAACAGAUAUAUUGCAAUAAAGACUGAAAAAGAAGCCGAUGCUAAAAAAGAAAAGAAAAAUGGAAUAUCUUGCUGCCUGGGAGAAGUCCCUUCCCAGAGAGACUAUAUAUAUAUAUAUUUCUGAUAUAUCAAAUCACUAUGAGUUUGUGCUACAUUGCAUUCAUUGUUUGACGAAUUUGUGGGGUUUCUUUUUUGCUUUAUUUACAUGCUACUGCGGUUCUGAUAUUAUGAUAGCAAUUGUGACUGUUAAUUUUUAGCACUGUCAUUAUCGUGAGCCGCUUUGAGCUCGAUGUUACUUAACAGAAAAGCAGAAUACGAACAUUAAAUUGAAAUCCAUCUGCAA